AUCUUUUUAAUACAAACGCCAGUAUAGGUGACUUCCAAUUACCCGGUCUUGGUUAAAACCCAAGAAAAGAUA
rnacentral:tRNA from 1 species